AUGGCUGAGAUGGUUAGUUCUGCCAUUGUUGCGGAAGCAGUUAGCCGGAUCUUUUCUGCUCUUGCCGCAAGCAGCAAAGUCAAGGAUAAAUGGGAUGGAGAAGUGGCAGGAGGUGGAUUGGAGAGGCUGGAGAUGGCAUGCAUUAAUAUGGAGGUCGCGCUCAAGACGUCAGACAACUGUAAAAAAAUUCUGGAACAUGAAGAGGCAAAGCAAGUGAAAAGGCAAUCCUCGUUUCAUGGACGUGUAGCUCACGCAACAAAGGCAUUCAUCUCCUCCUUUGUUGGCCGCGACAAUGAUCCCUGCUACACAGACGCUGCCUGGGCUGUACAAAGAUUCGAGAGGCUCGCCGAUAUUGCUGCUGAAUUCAUGAGAUUUGUGCAGCUUGGAGGGACACCGCGACAUAACCUGUUCUUCGACCCUCUCAUCAGGCAUAUUUAUGCCGGCCAAACACUUAUGUAUGAGGUGUUCUCUCCGAGAGGCCAGUAUCGCCACUUCACUAUACAGCCAAUGGGUUUUGAGGAGCGUGGACUGGAGGCCUUGCUAUCCUUUAUAUACGAAGAUUACAAGCAACCCAAGAACAGUUUUCGGCUUGGGGUGAUGCUGCGUCUUUCGGAGAGUACAAACAUAAUCGGUACUGCAGUAAAAUGCUUACGUCUGGUGACACCUCACUUCAAGUCCACGGCAGACGUUAUUAUCAAAGAGAUCACCAACUCCCUACGCAAGAUUUCUCGUGUUGCUCACAUGGAGCACUGGAACAGCGUCCAUACAACUUUGACUCGAUGGUUCCGCCCAGAUCCAUUAUGUUGUCAAGGAUACGAUUCUUGUCAUGACAACAGUGAAAGUAGCAGCAGAAAUGGUGGACAGAUCACACGAUGA
rnacentral:rRNA from 1 species